rnacentral:rRNA from 1 species
UGAAUACGAGACGCUAAGGCGUCGAAGUAGUGUAUGUCAUACUUCCAAGAAAAGCUUGCACUGUCAUAGAUAAAAAACGCCUGUACCAUAACCGACACAGGUGGGUAGGUAGAGUAUACUAAGGGGCGCGAGAUAACUCUCUCUAAGGAACUCGGCAAAAUAACUCCGUAACUUCGGGAGAAGGAGUGCCUUAUUCUUAAGGUUGCAAUAACAAGAUCCAAGCAACUGUUUAUCAAAAACACAGGUCUCCGCUAAGUCGUAAGACGAUGUAUGGGGGCUGACGCCUGCCCAGUGCCAGAAGGUUAAAGAAGCUGGUUAGCAUUUGCGAAGCUAGUAACUGAAGCCCUGGUGAACGGCGGCCGUAACAAUAACGGUCCUAAGGUAGCGAAAUUCCUUGUCGGGUAAGUUCCGACCCGCACGAAAGGCGUAAUGAUUUGGAUACUGUCUCGGAGAGGGGCUCGGUGAAAUAGACUUGUCUGUGAAGAUGCGGACUACCUGCACCAGGACAGAAAGACCCUAUGAAGCUUUACUGUAACUUGAAAUUGAAAUUGGACUUUAUUCGCGCAGUAUAGGUGGGAGGCGUUGAUUAUAAUCUUGCGGGAUUAUUGGAGCCAUUAGUGAGAUACCACUCUUGUAAUGUUAGAUUUCUAACUUUGAAUCAUUAUCUGGUCAAAGAACAGUUUCAGGCGGGCAGUUUGACUGGGGCGGUCGCCUCCCAAACGGUAACGGAGGCGUACGAAGGUUUCCUCUGAACGGUUAGAAAUCGUAUCUAGAGUGUAAAGGCAUAAGGAAGCUUGACUGUGAGACCUACAAGUCGAGCAGGGACGAAAGUCGGUCUUAGUGAUCUGACGGUACUGAGUGGAAAGGCCGUCACUCAACGGAUAAAAGUUACUCUAAGGAUAACAGGCUGAUCUCCCCCAAGAGUUCACAUCGACGGGGAGGUUUGGCACCUCGAUGUCGGCUCAUCGCAUCCUGGGGCGGUAGUACGUCCCAAGGGUUGGGCUGUUCGCCCAUGAAAGCGGUACGCGAGCUGGGUUCAGAACGUCGUGAGACAGUUCGGUCCAUAUCCGGUGUAGGCGUUAGAAUAUUGAGAGGAGCCUUCUUUAGUACGAGAGGACCGAGAAGGACAUACCUCUGGUGUACCAGUUAUCGUGCCAACGGUAGACGCUGGGUAGCUAUGUAUGGAGUGGAUAACCGCUGAAAGCAUCUAAGUGGGAAGCCCACCUCAAGAUAAGUAUUCUCAU